rnacentral:rRNA from 1 species
UACGUAGGGCGCAAGCGUUGUCCGGAAUUAUUGGGCGUAAAGAGCUCGUAGGUGGCUUGUCGCGUCGGGUGUGAAAGCUUGGGGCUUAACUCCAGGUCUGCAUUCGAUACGGGCUGGCUAGAGGUAGGUAGGGGAGAACGGAAUUCCUGGUGUAGCGGUGAAAUGCGCAGAUAUCAGGAGGAACACCGGUGGCGAAGGCGGGUCUCUGGGCAGUAACUGACGCUGAGGAGCGAAAGCGUGGGGAGCGAACAGG